UAGAGUUUGAUCCUGGCUCAGGAUGAACGCUAGCUACAGGCUUAACACAUGCAAGUCGAGGGGAAACGGCAGCUUAGCUUGCUAAGCUGGACGUCGACCGGCGCACGGGUGAGUAACGCGUAUCCAACCUGCCCACAAGUAGGGAAUAAUCCGUAGAAAUGCGGUCUAAUGCCUUAUGUGGUUUGACGAUGACAUCAGAAUUAAAUUAAAGACUUGUCGCUUGUGGAUGGGGAUGCGUCUGAUUAGGCAGUAGGCGGGGCAACGGCCCACCUAGCCGACGAUCAGUAGGGGUUCUGAGAGGAAAGUCCCCCACAUUGGAACUGAGACACGGUCCAAACUCCUACGGGAGGCAGCAGUGAGGAAUAUUGGUCAAUGGCCGCGAGGCUGAACCAGCCAAGUAGCGUGCAGGAGGACGGCCCUAUGGGUUGUAAACUGCUUUUAUGCGGGAAUAAAGUCAGGUACGCGUACCUGUUUGCAUGUACCGCAUGAAUAAGGACCGGCUAAUUCCGUGCCAGCAGCCGCGGUAAUACGGAAGGUCCGGGCGUUAUCCGGAUUUAUUGGGUUUAAAGGGAGCGCAGGCGGAGGAUUAAGCGUGACGUGAAAUGUCCCGGCUCAACCCGUGGAACUGCGUCGCGAAACUGGUUUUUCUUGAGUGAGUGCGAACGUCGGCGGAAAUUCGUGGUGUAGCGGUGAAAAUGCUUAGAUAUCACGAAGAACCCCGAUUGCGAAGGCAGCCGACGAGUCCUUAACUGACGCUAAAGCUCGAAAGUGCGGGUAUCGAACAGGAUUAGAUACCCUGGUAGUCCGCACGGUAAACGAUGGAUGCCCGCUGUCUGCGAUAUACUGUAGGCGGCCAAGAGAAAUCGUUAAGCAUCCCACCUGGGGAGUACGCCGGCAACGGUGAAACUCAAAGGAAUUGACGGGGGCCCGCACAAGCGGAGGAACAUGUGGUUUAAUUCGAUGAUACGCGAGGAACCUUACCCGGGCUUGAACUGCAGGCGAACGAUACAGAGAUGUUGAGGCCCUUCGGGGCGCCUGUGGAGGUGCUGCAUGGUUGUCGUCAGCUCGUGCCGUGAGGUGUCGGCUUAAGUGCCAUAACGAGCGCAACCCCUUUCUCCAGUUGCCAUCAGGCGAUGCUGGGCACUCUGGAGACACUGCCACCGUAAGGUGUGAGGAAGGUGGGGAUGACGUCAAAUCAGCACGGCCCUUACGUCCGGGGCUACACACGUGUUACAAUGGGUGGUACAGAGAGUUGGUCGUUUGCAAAUGCGAUCUAAUCAUGAAAGCCAUCCUCAGUUCGGAUUGGGGUCUGCAACCCGACCCCAUGAAGCUGGAUUCGCUAGUAAUCGCGCAUCAGCCAUGGCGCGGUGAAUACGUUCCCGGGCCUUGCACUCACCGCCCGUCA
rnacentral:rRNA from 1 species